rnacentral:rRNA from 1 species
CGGACGGGUGAGUAACACGUGGAUAACCUACCUAUAAGACUGGGAUAACUUCGGGAAACCGGAGCUAAUACCGGAUAAUAUUUUGAACCGCAUGGUUCAAAAGUGAAAGACGGUCUUGCUGCCACUUAUAGAUGGAUCCGCGCUGCAUUAGCUAGUUGGUAAGGUAACGGCUUACAAAGGCAACGAUGCAUAGCCGACCUGAGAGGGUGAUCGGCCACACUGGAACUGAGACACGGUCCAG